rnacentral:rRNA from 1 species
GAUGAACGCUGGCGGCGUGCCUAAUACAUGCAAGUCGAGCGAACAGACGAGGAGCUUGCUCCUCUGACGUUAGCGGCGGACGGGUGAGUAACACGUGGAUAACCUACCUAUAAGACUGGGAUAACUUCGGGAAACCGGAGCUAAUACCGGAUAAUAUAUUGAACCGCAUGGUUCAAUAGUGAAAGACGGUUUUGCUGUCACUUAUAGAUGGAUCCGCGCCGCAUUAGCUAGUUGGUAAGGUAACGGCUUACCAAGGCAACGAUGCGUAGCCGACCUGAGAGGGUGAGCGGCCACACGGGAACUGAGACACGGUCCAGACUACAGCGGGAGGCAGCAGUAGGGAAUCGUCCGCAAUGGGCGAAAGCCUGACGGAGCAACGCCGCGGGAGUGAUGAAGGUUUUCGGAUCGUAAACCUCUGUUAUUAGGGAAGAACAAAUGUGUAAGUAACUAUGCACGUCUUGACGGUACCUAAUCAGAAAGCCACGGCUAACUACGUG